AUUCGUUUGGGCUCAAGGAGGAGGGAACACGGCCCAUUCACCACACACUGAACCUAGAGUGCACUAAUGGGAUCUAACGGAGAAGACGUUUCUCAACAACAAUGGCGAAUCACAGCGGCACAGUGGAGAUUCCACGCGAACACGACCGCAUCUCAACGGCGGCUUGGCGUUCGCAUCCAUCAACGUCGCCGUCCCUCGGUGGCUUCAUCUUCUUCAACGAUCCAAUGGAGACGCGAUCGGAGCGCAAUCCGGAGAGCGAAUCUUGAUCGUCGCCAUCGAAUCUCCUUCACUUUGAUUUCAGUCAUCAUUCUCCGCGAAUUGGAACCGCAAGAUCCUGCUAUGAACCGUGGCUAUUGCAUUUCCCAGUGUACCGAGAAGAAGACGCUAAUCUCGCACUCGAGAGAUACGAAAACAAUCGAAGGAGAUGAUGGAAGAAUGACUUACGGACAGUGUGGCUUUCCGACGAUAACAGAUUGGAAGCGGUUGAAGGUUUGAUGAAGGUGGAGCUCACGGUUUGUUGUGAUUUCACGUGGUGAAGGUUGAAGUCGAAGAACAAAGAAAAUAGAGGAUGAUUGAUUCCGAAAGGUGCGAUCCGAUUUCUAUCCUCUACCUCUGCUAUCUGUUUUCUGUUUGAGAUGAGAAUGCGGUUGAGAGUUAGGUGAAUAAUCAAGUGAAGGCGUGAGGCUUUGGCAGGUUCAGUAGGAAUUGCAGGGCGAUGGUUUUUGAAUGUGUAUUGGGGAUUGAAGGUGGUUCUUGAUGCUGAAGAUUGGAUUGUGGUGAAGGUUUGAUGAAGGUGGAGAUCACCGUUACGGUUACGGAUUCGUAGUGGUUCAAGGCUUGGCUAUGGAGUUUUGGAGUUUUUGAUGAAGGUGAUUGGGAAUUGAAAAAAAACGGUUACGGUUACGGUGGUUGAAGGUUUUGGUUGAAGGAUUGGAAGAGUUUGUGAUGAAGUUUUGAAGAAGAAGAUUGGGAGAGAGGAAGAAAUGAGAUUGAGUCUGUUAUGUGGAAAAAUCUGGAAGUGUAGUGAGGUUGUUAUUCUGUUAUUUGAUGCUUGGAUUUUGCGUUUUGCUUUGCGGUUUACCGGCUUGGAAUUGUGGCUAUAGUUUGGCUCGGCUGUUUGGCGUUUUGGAUUCACUUUUAUGCAGACUUGUUGGUCAAUGUCAGUUUUACUUGAUUGUCAGAGUCUUUGCAGGCAGUUACCACAACCUUGGUAUGCUCACAUCAUGAAUAUAUCAAAAUCAGUCUUAAAGUCAUUACAGGCUUCAAUGGAUCUCUACCUUCAAAGCACUAUGGAGGGUAUGUAACAAUAGAUGAAAGUCAUGGUAAGAACUUGUAUUACUAUUUUGUUCAAUCAGAAGGCGAUUCAUCAAAGGACCCUAUUGUUCUAUGGCUGAAUGGUGGACCAGGAUGUUCUAGUUUUGAUGGUUUUGUAUAUGAACAUGGUAAUAACUAUUUUUCACUAUCAUUUUCAUUUUGUAAUUGUUUCUCAAAUCAAAUAAAUGUAGAGUGAAAAUUCAUUUUAAUAUCCAAAACAAUUUUUUUGUAAUAUCUAAUCUAAUAUAUUAUAUAAACAAUGUGUUCCAUUGGUGAUGUGUUUCAGGUCCUUUUAAUUUUGACAAACCUGUCAAUGGAUCCUUGCCUAAGUUGCAUCUCAAUCCAUACAGUUGGUCCAAGUUUGGUCAUUUUUAAUAAUAAUAAUCAGAAAUUCAAUCUAUUAAAUUAGUAUUUGUAGUAUUUAAAAUAUAUGAUUUUAGUCUAAAUAUUAGACAAAACAUUUUGAAUCAUUUUUAAUGUGUUUUCUUGCAGGUUUCCAACAUUAUAUAUUUGGACUCACCCGUUGGAGUAGGAUUUUCGUAUUCGAAAAAUACAUCUCAGUACGAAACUGGAGAUGAAAAGACUGCGACUGAUUCACAUACUUUUCUCCUCAAAUGGUUUGAAUUAUAUCCUGAGUUUCUU